CGGGGCCCAGGACCGGCCUCGGGACUCCGGGCUCUGCCACCAGCGGCCGCCAGAGGGCAGCACCGAGCCGCCGCGGAGCCCCCGCCCAGGCAGCGGUCGCGCAGGUGCAGGAGGGGAAACGGAGGCAGGACGCCGCCUGGCGCGGUCGCCCCGCUCCUGCCCCUGCCCCUGCCCCUGCCCGGGGCUGACGUCAGCCUGUGCCCCAAAUAACUUCCUCGGGGAGCCGCUUCCGCAGUCGUCGGAGCCCCGCCGCGCCCAGGGCAGGUCACCCCGACGGCUUCCCAGCAGCGGCUUCCGCCCCGCCCGCCGUGGGGGACCCCGGCCCCGCGCAAUGGGGAGACCCUGGUGCCCGCCAGCCCCCCUCUCGCCUAGGGAGUCCGGGGCCCAUGCACUGGGGGCCCCCUCGCACCCUGCCCCCCGCGCAGAGCUCGUGAGGGUGCUGGCGGUCUGGGGCCCCCACCUACACCCCCAUUCCUCCCCGUGAGCCUAGCAGGUGCUCAGUGAGCUGCGUGAGCCCGGAGGAGGCUGUGGCCCUGUGGUCGCCCAGGGGCAGGAGUCCAGGCCACAGCUCCGGGCUCCCUGCCCCCCAGUUGAGGGCUGGGGUCGGCCCGGCCGAGGGGUUCAGGGCCAGGUCACGGAGAAGUCGGGGUGCCGGGCGCCUCCUUCCUGCCGGGAGCAGCUGGCCGGGCCGGGUGGACAGGUCCCGCCGCAUAGCAGGCCGGGGCUACAGCAUAAAGCUGCUGCUGACGGCCGGUCGCUGCUCCAGUCCCUCGUCCUGGCCCCCAGACCAUGAGGCGGCCCCCGGCCCUGGCGCUGCCUCUGCUCCUGUGUCUGGUUGUGCCACAGGCUGCCUGCCUCCCGACGGCCGUCCCCAGUGCCUUCAGGAGUUCCUGGACCCCUAGGGGGAGGAUGAGAAGACUGCACACUUCCAGGAGGAGGCAGGAGAGUAAGGGAGAGAGGCUUCCAAGGCCAGAGUGCCAGCAGGAAGGCUGCCUGUGGGAGGUGGCACUUCAGUUAGGCUUUCCUCUGGCUUAGGACCUGCAGGAUCUGGCCUUGAGACCCAGGAAUUCUGGGGGCCUCGGCGACAAGAG